CAGGCUGGUUGGGCAGUCGCGGUCCUGCGUUGUCGGGAUCGAGGAAAGUCCGCACUCCAUAAAGCACGGCGUCGGAUAGCAACCGGGGCGGGGAACCGCCCGCAUUUAUUGCGAGGCGCGAACCUGCCGGAAAAGGGCCACAGAAACAAACAGCUGUUUCCAUCCUUCGGGAUGAAGCAGUGAUGGUGAAAAGGUGGUGUAAGAGACCACCGGCGUCUGCCGUAAUGCAGAUGGCCAGGUAACCCCCGCCGGGAGCAAGGCCAAGCAGAGGCGAAAUCGUCUGUGGACGAUGGGAGACUGCUCGUCUCCGCAUGUGCCUUUCCCUCUUGUGGGAAAGGCCAGCCUCGGGUAGGCUGCACCGAGCGAUGUGGUGACACAUCGCCCAGAGAGAUGACUGCACAGGUGGAGCGAUCCACCGGACAGAAUGCGGCUUAUAGACCAGCCUGAGGU
rnacentral:RNase_P_RNA from 1 species